rnacentral:rRNA from 1 species
AACCCUAAAAAGUUCUAAAAGCAAAAAGGUUUGGUCCUAGCCUUACUAUCAGUUACCCCUCAACUUACACAUGCAAGUCUCAGCACCCCCGUGAGGAAGCCCUUAAACCCUUCACCAGGAUAAGGAGCCGGUAUCAGGCCCAAUUUUUGCCCAUGACACCUAGCCCCCGCCACGCCCCCAAGGGUUGUCAGCAGUGAUAAACAUUAUCCAUAAGCGAUAGCUUGACUUAGUUAGAGGGAAGAUAGUUGGCCAACUCGGUGCCAGCCGCCGCGGUUAGACCCACAAACUAAAAUUGAUAGUCAUCGGCGUUAAGCGUGAUUAUAGCUACUAUUGAAUUAGAGUAAAACUCCUUGCCCAGCUGUGAAAAGCAUGCAUUCCGGAAUCCUAUGAACGAAAGUCACUCUAACUAACGCUUGAACACACGACAGCUAAGAACACAAACUGGG